AGUGAACGCUGGCGGUAGGCCUAACACAUGCAAGUCGAACGGCAGCGCAGUAAGAGCUUGCUCUUACGGGUGGCGAGUGGCGGACGGGUGAGGAAUACAUCGGAAUCUACUUUUUCGUGGGGGAUAACGUAGGGAAACUUACGCUAAUACCGCAUACGACCUACGGGUGAAAGCAGGGGAUCUUCGGACCUUGCGCGAUUGAAUGAGCCGAUGUCGGAUUAGCUAGUUGGCGGGGUAAAGGCCCACCAAGGCGACGAUCCGUAGCUGGUCUGAGAGGAUGAUCAGCCACACUGGAACGGGGACACGGUCCAGACUCCUACGGGAGGCAGCAGUGGGGAAUAUUGGACAAUGGGCGCAAGCCUGAUCCAGCCAUACCGCGUGGGUGAAGAAGGCCUUCGGGUUGUAAAGCCCUUUUGUUGGGAAAGAAAAGCAGCAGGUUAAUACCCCGCUGUUCUGACGGUACCCAAAGAAUAAGCACCGGCUAACUUCGU
rnacentral:rRNA from 1 species